GCCUAACACAUGCAAGUCGAGCGGUAAGGCCCCUUCGGGGGUACACGAGCGGCGAACGGGUGAGUAACGCGUGGGUAAUCUACCUAGAAGUGGGGGAUAGCCUCGGGAAACCGGGGGUAAUACCGCAUGUGCCUAGUGACGGCGCGAGCCGACCGAGGGAAAGGCGGGGAUCCUUCGGGACCUGUCGCUUCUGGGUGAGCCCGCGUCCGAUUAGCUAGUUGGCGGGGUAAUGGCCCACCAAGGCAUCGAUCGGUAGCCGGCCUGAGAGGGUGUUCGGCCACAUUGGGACUGAGACACGGCCCAGACUCCUACGGGAGGCAGCAGUGGGGAAUUUUGGGCAAUGGGCGCAAGCCUGACCCAGCGACAGCCGCGUGGGGGAUGAAGGCCUUCGGGUUGUAAACCCCUGUCAGGUGGGAACGAAAGUCUUGGCGGUUAAUAGCUGUCAAGGCCUGACGGUACCACCAAAGGAAGCCCCGGCUAACUCCGUGCCAGACAGCCGCGGUAAUACGGAGGGGGCAAGCGUUAUUCGGAAUUACUGGGCGUAAAAGCGCACGU
rnacentral:rRNA from 1 species